GAUGAAGAACGCAGCGAAAUGCGAUAAGUAAUGUGAAUUGCAGAAUUCAGUGAAUCAUCGAAUCUUUGAACGCACAUUGCGCCCGCCAGUAUUCUGGCGGGCAUGCCUGUCCGAGCGUCAUUUCAACCCUCGAACCCCUCCGGGGGGUCGGCGUUGGGUAUCGGCCCCUCACCGGGCCGCCCCCGAAAUCCAGUGGCGGUCUCGCCGCAGCCUCUCCUGCGCAGUAGUUUGCACACUCGCACCGGGAGCGCGGCGCGGCCACAGCCGUAAAACACCCCAAACUCUGAAAUGUUGACCUCGGAUCAGGUAGGAAUACCCGCUGAACUUAAGCAUAUCAAUAAGCGGAGGA
rnacentral:misc_RNA from 1 species